UAUUAUCCUAAUAGUUGCAAUAAAGAGAGAGUAAAAAAAAAAAAAUCCCUAAUUAGAUUUGGGGUCCAUUAGCAGCCGUUGAAGACAUGUUGCUAAUCUCCUUGCUAAUCCAUCCACUUAUUGGGAAGUCUUGGAAACCUCGUUGAAGACGUGUUCAUUGCGAGAUCUCCAUAUGCUCUAACAAUAAAUCUCCAAUGACAUUAUACUUCGCUCUUCCCUUGGAUUAAGAAUUAAAUGUUGCUUCUUCGGCGCCCAGCACUGGAAGAACAUCAUCUUCACCAACAACCAUAUCACAAUAGCAGGUCUUGACGGCAUUCUCCGGUAAAGCAGCUCCAUAACCGAAAGUCUUUCAUGCUGAGCACGCUAGAGGAAAAGGAGGACUUUUGGUGGAGCUUUAAUCUUCCAGAGAUCUUGCCAGAUUCCUUGUCUUUGCUGGAGGUGUGGAUGAAGCUCAGACAGUUCAUCGUUGAAGGAAAAGGCUAUUAUGUACCCAGAAGAGACUUCGUAUCUGCCGGAUUUGUGGAAUAACCAGGUAAGUUUAUCCCUAUACUCACUCAUUUUAGUUGCUAAAAUUUGCUGAGUGAUGGCUGGUGGAAAUAUUGAAGUAAUGAGUUGUUGAUUCCAUUCAUUAUUUUCACUCAUCAGGUGAUUGACUCGUGAGACUGGUUGGUUUAUGGAAAAGGAGUUUAGUCUGAUUGGGGGAGUAAAUUGUUGCAGAGAUGGAACCCAUGGAUCUGAGAAAAUGUUCACCUCAAAACCAGGACCUAUUUGCCAAAUCAAGCAUUUUUUUAGUGACUUUUUGCCCCUCCAGAAUGCUCUUCUGGCCCUAGGAAGAUGCUCAGGAAAAAAUUAAAUAUGAAGUUAGAUGCGGCGGUAGUCCACACGCAUAUACAGGUUAGUAUGAAGUUAGAUGUGGCGGUAGUCUGCCCAUAUAUGCAUAUGCAGAAACAUAAAUUAAAAGCAAGAAAAUGAAGAACUGGAAAUUGUUUAUUAUAGAAAGCUUGAAAAAGAAAGAUCAGAGUAAACAACAUACAAAGGAUUCUCAGAGCCUCUCUCUAAUUUCUCUCUCUAUUCUUUUCCCUCUAAAAACUCUGCCCCAGAAUGUUGCUGAAGUGCAUUUUUUAUACGCCUGGAUUUUACUGUUUCUAAAGUAUAGGUAAUGUUGAUCUACACUAUAGCUACAGUAUUGGUUACAAAUUGAGAUACACAACAAAAUAAAGUACAUUUUGUUUAAUAUGGUACAUAAUCCUCCGCUAAAUUAAUUCUAAAACAAUCGUCUUUGUUUUGAUUGUAAUCACUUGAUAAUAUUGACGAGGAAUUUGGGUUUUCUUGUUGGUCUCCUUGAGCUUUGAGUAAUUGAAGGAUUUGUUGCAAUUUUUUUAAGAACGAUUCUUUUGAUUAAGACCCUGCUAAAGCUGCUGCUUUUGAGCUUUUUGAUUGAGAAAAAUAGAAGUUUCCUUAUCUGUGACCUUAACAAGUUAGGGUGUUCUGUGAACCAUUUUCUAACUUCGUUAGGAUGAGCCUUUGUUGUAUUGUCUUGAGCCCACCAUUUGAUGUAUGCAUUUUGUUGGAGCAUUGGUAAAGUCUUCGGGUGAUCUUGCUUACCAUACAUGUAUUACUAUGAGAAUACUCAUGCCAAUGCAAAUGUUGAGAAAAAUUUGAGGUUAGUUGGAAUAGAUGUUUCCUACUGAUCAUAUUUAUUUUUGAAAACUUUCAACCCCUCAUCUGUAGGUGGGGGUAAAAUUUUGGGUAGUCGGCCAAAAUAGUCCCACCAUUGAGAAAACCAAUUAGGCAAGUGAUAGUUAAGGUUUCUUUUGAAAUAUAUGAUCCAUGAGUGGCGAUUCUAUUCAUUUUGGA